rnacentral:lncRNA from 1 species
AAAAUUGUCUGACAUUAGACCAAUUGUUUAGAUAUGGUUUACAAAGUGAUGACUUUUCUUCUUACAUUCAUGGUGAUAGGACUUUGUAAGUCUUUUCCUCUUUAAGUUGUACAUGUUUUCCAAAAUUUUCGAUAUGUGAAUAUCGCACGUACUCCUCUUGAUUUUACUCCAAGUUCAUUUUCUAGAACUUUUGUAUGUAGUGGAUUAUUAUAUUUAUGUAUUUAUUAAUUUUAACAUUUUUUUAGAGGAUUGAGACAUGCAUAGCGGGGAAAAAGUAGUAAAUGAAGGAGUUUCUUGUGUAUAAGUUGCACCAACUGAAAAGAUAAUAUAUUAAUUUUUUCAAUUUUUUUAAAUAAAAUUGAAUAGCACUUUACUUCUUUCAAGAUAAUUUAAAUAUAUUAAAAAAAUAUUUAACAAAUAUAAAAGUAUUCACCUCAUAAAUCACUAUGUUAGAAAGUUAUCCUAAAAAUAAGAAGAAAUACUUAUAUAUUAAUAUCCUAAGUGUUAAGUUUAAAAUAAGUAAGAUUAUUUCAAUAUAUACGAAUACGAUAUCUUGUUAAGGAUAUUUUUGGUAAGAAGAAAAGUCAAAACUACUUCUACUAUUGGGGAUAAGCUAAUUUUUUUCUGUUUCUUCGCAAAAGCACUCCCCCACCCCUCGAAGAAAAAAAAAUUAAAUAAAAAAUCUUAGCCAACCACCUCAAGUGGAAAAAAAAUACUUUUUGAAAAAAUGCACUUUUGGUCGGGGAGAAGCUUAGCCAAAGGCUAUAUUUAUCCCAUGCAUUAUUUAUUAUUUAUUGGUAUCUCCUGGCAUAUCUAAUUGUUUGUUUCAAGGUUUUUUUUUUUUUUUUUGAAUCAUCAUAGAUAAAUUUUUUGUGGUACGAAAAAAAGAAGAAGAAGAAAGUUUUGCAUGUAUAUAUAUUUAACAUACAUUGCUUACUAUGUUAAAGCCUUUAUGCCAUCAAUUAUAAUUAUAAAUUUUAAAAAUUGGCAGCUGUUUCGCCAAAGAUUGAAGCAAGGAAUGUGAGCUAUUGUUGUUGCAAGACAGAUGCAGAUUGUAAGGAGACGUGUGGUGUAUCCCCUAUUUAUCAUUGUUCACUUGGUUAUUGUGCGUGCUCCAAUUACGGGCCUCCUCAAAAACAAGUUGCUGAAACUAAUGGGGGCACAGUUGAAGAACCAA